UACGUAGGGUGCAAGCGUUAAUCGGAAUUACUGGGCGUAAAGCGCGUGUAGGCUGCUCUGCAAGUCGGAUGUGAAAGCCCUGGGCUCAACCUAGGAAGUGCAUUCGAAACUGCAGAGCUGGAGUCCUGGAGAGGAAGGCGGAAUUCUCGGUGUAGAGGUGAAAUUCGUAGAUAUCGAGAGGAACACCGGUGGCGAAGGCGGCCUUCUGGACAGUGACUGACGCUGAGACGCGAAAGCGUGGGGAGCAAACAGG
rnacentral:rRNA from 1 species